UACGGGGGGGGCAAGCGUUGUUCGGAAUUACUGGGCGUAAAGGGCUCGUAGGUGGCCAACUAAGUCAGACGUGAAAUCCCUCGGCUUAACCGAGGAACUGCGUCUGAUACUGGAUGGCUUGAGUUUGGGAGAGGGAUGCGGAAUUCCAGGUGUAGCGGUGAAAUGCGUAGAUAUCUGGAGGAACACCGGUGGCGAAGGCGGCAUCCUGGACCAACACUGACGCUGAACAGCGAAAGCCAGGGGAGCAAGCGGG
rnacentral:rRNA from 1 species